GCCCUCUCGCCCGGCCACCGCCCCUUCCCGCUCACCCCGGGGGAGCCGCUGCCCUCAUGGCGCUGGGCCGGGGCGCGCUCGGCCUCCUCAGCCUCCUCCUCCUGCUGCUGCUGCUGCCGGCGGCCGUUUUGGGUGAGGAUUGUCAGGCAUAUAUUGAUUAUUCUGGCAAAGAACAACCUGCACAAUCCUGUCCUGACUUCUGCUGCGGAAGUUGCGCACGUCGAUUCUGCUGCUCCAAUGUAAUGUUAAGAUUUGCCCAACAACCGUUGCAGUGUGUUCUACAGGAUGGAAGGAUGUAUGUCCCAGGAGAUCU